GUGGAUUAGAUACCCUGGUAGUCCACGCCCUAAACGAUGGGCACUAAGUGUCGGAGGUAUUGAGCCCUCCGGUGCCGCAGCUAACGCAUUAAGUGCCCCGCCUGGGGAGUACGGCCGCAAGGUUGAAACUCAAAGGAAUUGACGGGGGCCCGCACAAGCGGUGGAGCAUGUGGUUCAAUUCGACGCAACGCGAAGAACCUUACCUGGGCUUGACAUGCUGGUAGUAGAAACCCGAAAGGGCAACGAGCCCCGCAAGGGGAAGCCAGCACAGGUGCUGCACGGUUGUCGACAACU
rnacentral:rRNA from 1 species